UACGAAGGGGGCAAGCGUUGUUCGGAAUUACUGGGCGUAAAGGGCGCGUAGGCGGCCGAUCAAGUCAGGCGUGAAAUUCCCGGGCUCAACCUGGGGGCUGCGCUUGAUACUGAUUGGCUUGAAUGCGGGAGAGGAAGGUAGAAUUCCAGGUGUAGCGGUGAAAUGCGUAGAUAUCUGGAGGAAUACCGGUGGCGAAGGCGGCCUUCUGGACUGUAACUGACACUGAGGAACGAAAGCCAGGGGAGCAAACGGG
rnacentral:rRNA from 1 species